GUGGAUGUAGCUUAGUGGUAGAGUGCUUGUCUAGCAUGCAUGAAGCCCUGGGUUCAAUUCCAGUACCACA
rfam:Dipodomys ordii contig_26019, whole genome shotgun sequence.